GGGUCAGUAGGUUGGUCGUGCCACCGGUACGUACUGGUCUCACUGAUUCCUCCUUCCUGAAGAACCGUAAUGCCACUAAUUUGGUGUCGCGGGGAAACAGGACUGUUACUUUGAAAAAAUUAGAGUGUUUAAAGCAAGCUAACGCUUGAAUACAUUAGCAUGGAAUAAUGAAAUAGGACGAUCGAUCCUAUUUUGUUGGUUUCUAGGAUUGACGUA
rnacentral:rRNA from 1 species